UUAUUUAUGGAAAUAAUGAAGCACAUUAAUAAUGUAUUUAUUGUGGUUUAAUAAAAAGCUUAUUAUAUAUUUAGAUGGACCAACUUAUUUCUCUAAAGACUCUAAGAAUCAUUCUAGUGAUGACACGUGGCUACAAAAAAAUGUUGCAAUGCUUAUCAAAUAAUAUAUAGGGGAUUUUGACACCCCUCAACAUAAUUCCUGCAUCCACCACUGUAUUUAAAUAUUUAGAAGGUAGAUACGAUUAGUGUUUAGAAUGUACGAUAAUUUAGUUUUCUUAAUUGAUUAAUCGUUAUUAUUUUAUGGAAUUUUGUUUUUUGUGUUAGAAACUCGACAAUCUUAUUUUUAUCAAGUUUUUGAAAUUUUAUGAAUUAUUACUUUUUUUCGAUUGGACAACUAAUGACUUUUAAACGAACGUGUAAAUUUUACAAUCAAAAGAGAGAGCAUAUAGGAAUAUUUAAAAAUAAAAGGUUUGAAAUAACAAAGGGUAGUUCACUCGAAUAAACAUUUUUAAGUUUUUGUCACAAAAAUAGAUUUCAAAAACUAAAAUGACUAAAAUAGCAUUUUUUAUUUUGAAAAUUUUAAAUUUUUUUAAUUUUUAAAAUUUUAAAUCCUACCCCCAAAACCCCACUUCUCAACUCUAAACCCUAAAUUCUAAACCCUAAAUCCUAAACCCUAAACUCAACCCCUUAAUUCUAAACUCUAAUGUCUAGAUUAAUUAAGAACAUCUCCAAAAAGGAACUCUAUUUUGAAAUUUCCAAAACUCUAUAUUUGAAGUUUAAAGAUGUUCUUCUCCAAAAGUAAAACUUUAAAGGGGAAAUUUUACUUUUACACUUUGUUUGAUACCACUAUUCAAUUUUACCACCAAUUUAGGGGACAUUUUCAUAGAUACCACUUUCAUUAAUGAACAAAAGACAAUAGUACCCUUACCUUAUCUUCUCUUCAAUCAUCGACUCUUCAUCUCUCUUUUUGAGAUCCAUCUUCUCUCGGACUUACCGUCGAGAUCCUCCGUUUCCGUCGAGAUCCGCCGUCUCCGUCGAGAUCCACCGUCUCUGUCGAGAUCCGCCGUCUCCGUCGAGAUCCGCCAUCUCUCUCUCUCACACAACCGGCAACGAAAACGGAUUACAGAGAAUCGCGAUUCAAAGCCUUCAAAUGUUGAUUCAUGUUCAAGAUUCACAACUCGUAUGUCUCUAAUUCUUGUAUUCUUUUGUUUGUUUCGAGUAAAUAUUUGAUUUUGUUCUUUCUCUGAUCAAAAAAUCAAAAAAGUUUGCUUUAGACUUCUCAUUUGAACAUGUCGAUCUAAGAGAAACAAUUUCCAUAGUGAACAAUACUGAGUUUUGACAACUUAAAACCCUUUAUAAAUCUGGGUUUCAAGUAAUUUUAGGGGUUUCUUCUUUCUGUUAUCAAAAAAUAGAAUACGGUUAAUUUGGACUUGUCAUUUGAAUGGUCCCUGCUAAGAGAGAGAUUUUUCGAUAGUGAACAUUGUAUAUUAAGGAAUUAUAACCCUUUAUAAAUAUGGAUUUUAGAAUAUUGUUGAUAAUACAACUCAACGAUUUACAAGAUUUUAUAAAAGAAGUUUUUUAACAAGAGUUGAUCGCAUAUGUCUAUAGGACAACAUAUAAAUGUGUGAACUAAAGAAGUCUUGUGUUGUGUUAUUCUAUAUUAUUUGUAAGACUGUUGUGGAAAUACACGAACCCUAUGCUUGGAUAAGGUAUGUUUAAGCCAUGAUUAGAAGUUCAUAUCAUCCUUUUAUUAACUUCAUAUCAUUUUUGUUUUGGACUUCUCAUUUGAAUAUGUCGAUUUAAGAGAAACAGUUUCGAUAGUGAACAUUGAGUUUUUUGACAACUUAAAAUCCUUUAUAAAUCUAGGUUUCAUGUAAUUUUAGGAUUUUCUUCCUUCUGUUUAUCCAAAAAUAGAAUACGGUUGAUUUGGACUUGUCAUCUGAAUAGUUCUGGCUAAGAGAGAGAUUUUUCGAUAGUACACUGCAUAUUAAGGAAUUAUAACCCCUUAUAAAUCUGUAUUUUAGGAUAUUGUUGAUAGUACAGCUCAACGAUUUACAAGGUUUUAUAAAAGAAGUUCUUAAACAAGAAUUCAUCAUAUAUGUCUAUAGAACAACAUAUAAACGUGUGAACUCGAGAAGUCUUAGGAUGUGUUAUUUGUAAGACUGUUACCGAAAUACAUGAACAUUAUGCUUGGAUAAGGUAUCUUUAGACCACGAUUAAAAGUUAACAUCAUCUUUUUAUUUCGUCUUGCAGUUAGACAGCAAUAAAUCUUGCACAUCUUCCUGAUUGCCUCCAAGGAUUUAUGAAACUGGAACAGAACCACUAGACAAUCCAAAAGUGAUUAUUCAAUCGGUGUCUUGGUCAAUAAUUGUUGUGCAAUUAGUUCAACAAGGAUAUAAAAUGAAGAAAAGCUAAGGGGAACGAGGAUUUGUGGUUUUACUUUUUGCAGCAUAUGAUGUAGGGCAAUAACACAUGAAAGAAGAUAAAAAUGAAGGGAAAAGAAAGCUUAAGAGAAUAAAAGUUUAUAAAUAAUUUAUAAAAAUAUAUAAAACAGUUUGUAAAGUUUAUAAGCUAUUUAUAAGGGUUUAUAUAUUAUUUGUAAGAGUCUCAAAACCAUUUAUAAAUGUUUACAUUUAUAAAGGUUUAUAAAACAAUUAAUAAAGUCUAUAAACCAUUUAUAACUGUUUAUAAAAACGUUAUGAAAGUAUAUACACAAUUAAUAUGGGUUAUGUAUUCAAUUUAUAAGGUUUAUAGGUUUAUGAACCAAUUAGAAAGUCUCUUAAAUCAUUUAUAAGAGUCUACAGUAAUUUAUAAGGACUUGUAGAAACAAUUUAUAAGAGUUUGUAAAAUUGUUUAUAAGGAUUUAUAAGGAUAUAUAAAUAAUUAAUAAGAGUUUAUAAAUCAUUUAU